UCAUUCAUACAUAUUGCUAAAACUGCAUGUUAUUAUUCAAUGGCUUAAACACAUACAGAGUCUUAUGACAAGGCCUGAUAAUGACACGUAUGGACCAAACUAUGCAGCUUCUCAUUACCACCAGUUUCCAUCUUUUGCUUUUAUUAAUCGAUCGUCUACUGAUUUCCCUUUUACUGUAACUUUAAACAUUACCUUCGACAAAAUGUACAAAAUUCUGAGUUCACUGUCACUAGCCUGUGAAUUCUUAACACAUUCAACAAGCAACGCAUGACAUAUUAACUUUCGUGUGAUACUUGAUUUUUCCUUCAACAAUAUCCACCCCUAAUCUCUAUAUAAACCUCACUGCAUUAAGCUCGAAAUAACAUAGAAGAUAUAAAGUGCCUGCAGGAUAACUUAACAAAGAUUUAGGAGCUGCACAAAUUAAAGGGUGGGUUUUGAAAUAUGGAGUUGAAGAAGGUUUUCGCAUUUGGUUUGCUUUUUGAGCUCAUAUCUCUGGCUACUGGCCUGGAUCGAAGUGAUUUCCCUUCUUCAUUUCUCUUCGGCACUGCAACUUCAUGCUAUCAGAAAAUAAAGUUAAUAAUUUCUUUGCGAGCGGGUUUUGUGCACCGCAUUUUCUUUGAUAAGAAUGAGCUGGAGGUUUUCUACCCGCGAUGCAUCGUUAAAGUUGCCAAAGUUGCUCAAAAUACCUACGGGUGUGACUUCAUGUAUGAGAAACUUUUGAGCACGGAUUUGUUUACAACAGAAUGAUAUUACUUAUUUUAUUAGCCACAAAUUAAUUAAACACUUCAAGUGCUUUUUUUAGCAUACAUUUGGCAGUCCAUAUAAAUUCCAGGAUGGCUUUGGGAUAUCAAUUUACAGACACAUCCUGCUACAACCUCGUAUACAAACGUUUGUAUUCGAAAAGUAUUCGAAGAUAUUAAUUUUCAGGAGUGCUCACCUAGUUAUUUUGUUUUUUUCCCAGAUUGAAGGUGGAUAUCUAGAAGGCAACAAAAGUCUGAACAAUUGGGACGUCUUUACUCACAUGCCAGGAAAUAUCAAGGAUGGGAGCACUGGAGAUGUUGCUGAUGAUCACUUCCACCGAUACAUGGUCCACAUUUUAAUCAUACCAUAUAGACAUAAAUUAUUUAAUCAAGUUCUUGUUACAUGAUAUUCUCUGAGUUUUUGCCCCUUUUUUCCUCAAAGAUUCUGUCAUCUGCCGCCCCCAGAUAUUUUGCUAGGCUAUAAUUGCAGAUCUCGUCAAAAUUUAGAAUUUAGCUGGCUGAAAAAAUCAAAAGAGGUUUUGAUGUAGGGGAUAUAAAGACUUAAAUAGGAGAAUGCGGUCAAGAUGGCUUUGAUAUAUGAAUCUUUUGAACCGAAAUUGAUGAAAGCCAAGAUUGAGAUUGAUACUGACAGGUUCCUAGUGAGUAUUUGACAUUGAGGAACAAGUUUUUGGAAACAAAUAGAGAAUAUAGUCUUUGACCGAGAAGUUUCAUGUUUUGUAAUCAAAUGUUGAUGUACAUUGUUUGAAUGUUAGUUCGGUACGAUAUUUUCUGAGUUGAAAUGUUGGUAGUGUGGAUUUAAUACUUUGUAGUUUUUAUACUAUACUGAUGUAUGUUGGCACUUAUCAUUAUGGUUGAUUAUGCUCAACAUAAUCACUUUUAUAU